GUGGGGCGGGGGCAAGUGUCAGUCAGGGCGAGCGCGGCGCGGGCAGUGGAGACCCGCGGCAUACAGGCAUCCGGGCCGGAACGAGGCCUGCAGAGAUGGAGUUCCUGCUGGGGAAUCCGUUCAGCACCCCUGUAGGGCAGUGUCUUGAAGCUGCAAACCUGACUGGAAAGGACAGAGGGAGUAAAACACCUAGCGUGUGUGGGAAAGCUGAUGAGGGAACUGAGGAUGAACCCAGUGGUCACAUAGUUGCUCAGCAUGGGUCAUGUACCAGGUUCCAUCCCUGUGGCCCAGACUGCAGUGUGCGCUUGAUGUGGAAAGGUGUUGUGACUACCCUGUGGUAUCCCAGUCAUGCAGAGAAUCAAGACUACAGAGUCUGAGUUCACUGCUAUCCAAGGAUGCCACUGUGAUGCACAAAUGAAGUACAUUUCUUCUUCCCUGCACUACCUAGGGCACGCUGCCCAGGGGCUGACUACCCAGGGGUCCUGCUACCUGGGGCCUCUGCAGAAGUUGCAGUCAACACUUUACUUUCAAGGGUCCUGAUAGUACAAGCCCAGGCUCUUUUAUGCAGGAGAUGGGGUGGGAUGGGAAUUGUAUGCGGCUCCUGUGUGAGGGUCAUCUGGUGUCCCCCCCCUCCAAGGAGUUGCAACCUACAGGUUGAGAACCACUGCUCUAGGGGUUUAACUAUUUAGAUUCAUUAAAAAAAAAGAAAUGUGCUGUUGUUGCUCCACCUUAAGGAGGAACCAAGCCAAGUUUAGGGACUUAUUUCUGCUAAGGGAUCUCUCUGUGGAGUUGCCUGGAUAUGCUUAGGCAGCACAUCAAGACUGUCUCAGAAUUCCGGAUGGAUGAAUCACACACAUACAUAGACACACACUGUUAAAAGAAAAUAAAGAAAGGAACAGCCGAUUUUUAUUAGAUGGAGGGGAAGACACUAUAAAGAUGUUAAUGAGUCUGGUGGUGGUGGUGCAUAUCUUUAAUCCCAGGACUCAGGAGGCAGAGAAAGGCAGGUCUCUGAAUUCAAGGCCAGCCUGGUCUACAGAGCAAGUUCCAGUAUAGCCAGAGCUACACAGAGUAUUAAUGUUGUCCAGUAAGAUCUACAAAGGUGGUGAAAUCGCUAUUAAAUGCAACUCACAUUUUUUGUAAAAGUAGAAAAAUAAAAUUCCCAUGAACUCAGAAGGAAAUAACUCUGCAAAUAGCUAAAACAACCUGGAAAAGACAAAGCUGGAAGAUACACAUUUCCUGAUUUCAAAAUUACUUUAAAACUAAAACAAUCAAAAUAGAGUAGUAGUUUUGACCUAAGGGCUGAUAUGUAGACCAAUGGGGAAGUAAAGCAAGGGGCCCAGAAAUAAUCCCUCUCACAUAUGUCUAUGUAUUCUCAACAAGGAUACCAAAAUCAUUUAGUGGGGGAAGAAUCAUGUUUUUUAAUGAUACUGGGGGAAAAUAGAAACAUACACACACUAAUAAAGUUAGGUCUUUAUUGUAUACCAUAUACAGAAAUUAACUCCAGAUAGACCAAAUUCCUAAAGAAAAGAAUAUAUAAACUGUAAAAAAAAAUAUGUAUGUUAAAAAAAAGAAUAUUUAAACUGAGUCAGGUGGUG